AAAGAAUACUAGAGACCAAUUCCAAGAUGCAAAGCUCAGGGCUGGUAGGUAGAGACUCCACCAUCAUUAAAACGGAGCUUGCAUGGUUGCUCUGAUCUUCUUCAUUUCUAAGCAAGUAGAAAUAGGAUGAACCUCUCUGAGGAUUCAAUUAUAGCCAGAACCUGACUUUGGCCCUGCAGGGAAAGAAGCCCAAACAUACGGUGUUAGCAUCAUGCUGAAGAAACAGGAAUAAAGGAGUUGUAUUCUCCAAGUCUUGUGAAAGUGUUAUUAUAUUACCAAGAAGCACCAAGUUUUUGGACUAGAUCACCUUGGAUAUGCUCAAGGACAUUCAACUGGGAGGAUGUGGCCUAGGUGAUAAAGUCAAAUGCUUCCUUAGUUAAUUUCUUUGGCUGCAUUCUAGAAAAAAACCAACCCUGAGAUGAAUGAGGAUUUAUGUGCAAAUGAUUCAUUAAGGAAGUGCUCCUAAGAAUAAACAGAAAAGGCUGGGGGACUUGGAACUGAAAGAAACCAAACAAGGUUGUGAUUAUAGAAAAAGUCCAAGCAUGAACCUGAUCCCACAAGGAGCUCUGGAGUAUAAAUUAUAUAUCAGUUUGUCCUGACUUAGGCAAGAGAGCCGGGCUGCACUCCUUGCCCUACUCAUUGACUGGGAACCAUCUCAGGAGAUCUAAAAUCCAAACAUUUCCAUCUCUCUGUGCAUUCAAGCAAAGCAGCUCCAGUAGCUCUUGGGCAGCCUCCAAAGACUCACAGGUGCAAGCUAUUACAUACAAGAGAGCACAGAAGCUGAAGAGAUAUGGAUUACUUAAAAAUAAACAUGUUUUUAAAAAGAAAACAUUGCAGAUUCUAGUACCAGUAAUACAGCUUACUAGUAAUUAGUCUUGCAAUAAAUCAUUUUACCUCUUUCAACUCUGUGUUUUAAAAUUUUUAAUGUAAAAAGUUAAUAGUAACC